UUCUAUAGCUACUGCUCUGUGUUGUAACAUUCCUUCAUGGGAAAGAAACUGUCAGAGUUUAACACCUUUUAGAAAAACAUGUAGCAAACAUGUAUGUGGCAACCAUGA
rnacentral:snoRNA from 1 species